CUGAGCCGUGUGAUGGGUGACUAUCCUGCACGGUUCGGAGAGCACUUUUAGUCAGCGUUGGUGAAUGGAAGCCCCUCUAUCAAGCAAGAAAGAAGCGGCUAUUCCCACGGCGGAGUCACCAUUGACUCUAU
rfam:Medicago truncatula strain A17 chromosome 7, whole genome shotgun sequence.